UACGUAGGGUGCGAGCGUUGUCCGGAAUUAUUGGGCGUAAAGAGCUCGUAGGCGGUUUGUCGCGUCUGCUGUGAAAACUGGAGGCUCAACCUCCAGCCUGCAGUGGGUACGGGCAGACUAGAGUCCGGAAGAGGAGAGUGGAAUUCCUGGUGUAGCGGUGAAAUGCGCAGAUAUCAGGAGGAACACCGGUGGCGAAGGCGGGUCUCUGGGCCGAUACUGACGCUGAGGAGCGAAAGCGUGGGGAGCGAACAGG
rnacentral:rRNA from 1 species